GAUGAACGCUGGCGGCGUGCCUAAUACAUGCAAGUCGAGCGAAUGGAUUAAGAGCUUGCUCUUAUGAAGUUAGCGGCGGACGGGUGAGUAACACGUGGGUAACCUGCCCAUAAGACUGGGAUAACUCCGGGAAACCGGGGCUAAUACCGGAUAACAUUUUGAACCGCAUGGUUCGAAAUUGAAAGGCGGCUUCGGCUGGCACUUAUGGAUGGACCCGCGUCGCAUUAGCUAGUUGGUGAGGUAACGGCUCACCAAGGCAACGAUGCGUAGCCGACCUGAGAGGGUGAUCGGCCACACUUGGACUGAGACACGGCCCAGACUCCUACGGGAGGCAGCAGUAGGGAAUCUUCCGCAAUGGGCGAAAGUCUGACGGAGCAACGCCGCGUGAGUGAUGAAGGCUUUCGGGUCGUAAAACUCUGUUGUUAGGGAAGAACAAGUGCUAGUUGAAUAAGCUGGCACCUUGACGGUACCUAACCAGAAAGCCACGGCUAACUACGUGCCAGCCGCCGCAGUAA
rnacentral:rRNA from 1 species